AUUCUGUGUCCAGGACUUCGGGCCCUCUGUGAGCCUCUGUCCGCCAAGGCGAUGGAGCUGUGUUUGGAGUCCCUCGUCUUUGGCAGCGGCUGGGGCCAAAGCCCGGGCAAGACCAACGCCUUCGGCACCCGGACUCAGGCUCCGUCCUCUCUGCCAGCGUGCGGCUACAAUGACUCGACAUGGCAGGUGGGCAAGCACAGCACGCCCCAACAGACAUGCUUUAUUUAAUAUGUACUAAAAAUACAGCAGGCCUGUGAAACCCACAGGUGCAAUUGCUUAAAAUGAGGCUAAGGUAGACGUGUGAAUGGUUAAUAAUGAGUUGAUUAAAAUAUUCAGAAAUCAUCUACUGGAGACGGGCAAACUGCAAAAUGGUAGCAUGGGAGCAACUGAUGUUCGAGAAAGCCCAGGCUCCGGCAAGCCGUGGGUUUGAAUUUACACAUGCGCACAUAAUGGGUAUGAAUAAACCUUUCUUCAAAAAAACCAGAUCAAGUCAAGGCAGUUAUUUGCUGUGGGCAGGUGCCAAGGCUGGCUGCUUCAGUCCCCACGCGAGUCGCCCCCGAGCCUGCUUCUGCAGCCCAGCCUGGAAAGUGCAAGGCACUUGGAAAGGAGCCACGCCCAACGCCCUGUACCAGCGGCCUCCCGGACACCAACAGCGUCCUCUGCGCCUGCUGCAGCUUGUCCCUUAGUCCUCCCUGGACAGAGGGCGUGAAGUUGGCUGCGCCAACAGGACGCGGCCCGCUCACUUCGGGGCUCAUUGUCCUGGACACACAGUCAGGGCUGGACGCCUCCAGCAGCCCCACGCUUCACCCCAAGGUCCGCAAACCUGACAACUUCGGAGGUAGGGAUAUCUUGACACAGUCUGAAAACAAACCAUUUAAAACUUUUUUUCUCAAAAAAUUAAAAUAAUUUUUUUCUGCUUACAAAAUCUAUAAAUUCAGUUCAAUAUCAAUGAAAAUCGCAACAGGAUGUUGACACUUGAGAAGCUGAUUUGAAAGUUCAUCUGAAAGAGAAAAUAUAUAGGAAUCCUGAAGAUGAUUUCGAAAACCUCCAAAAAGACUUCAGUAAUUCACACAGAAAAUCCAGAAACAGAUUCAUGUUUAUGGGGAAAUUUAGUAUUUGAUACAGGAGACCUUUCAAAGCCAAGCUGGAAAGAUGGAAGGUCAACAGAGGCUUUGGGGAAAACUCACUAUCCAUUUUGAAACCAAUGUUAGAAUCUUCUUACCAUUUGCAAGAAUAAACUCCAGGUGUAUUAAAGAGCUAAACAUUUAAAAAAUCUAUAAAAGUUUUAAAGCCAAAUAUGGAAGAAUAUUUUUAAAAUCCUAUGGUGAAGAAGGCUUUUACUAAGCAGCAAACAAAACCUGGAAACCGUAAAGGAAAUGACUGACAGAUUUGAAUAUUGCAAGAACUAAAUGAAUGCCUCCUUAAACAAAUUAAAGGACAAAUUCCAGGCAGGGAGAAAAUAGUUUACAAUAGAAGUAAUGUGCCAAUGGUUAAUAUCUGUGUUGCAUAAACAUGUCUUUCCAAUCAAUAAGAAAAGAGUAGGAAAUGGGUAAGGAUUUAACAGGCAAUUCACAGAAGACAAAGUAACCGGCCCCUAAAUGGGAGCAUAUCCUCAACUUCACUAGUAAUAAAGGAAACGAAUUUAAAAGACGAUACAUUUCUCACUUCUUCUCUCCUUAUAGCUGUAUUCCACCUUUGACCAUACAGCCUGUUUUUAUUUAUCGUAAGCAUAGGUUAAUAAAUACAGGGCUUACCAUGUUAAUAUCUUCUUUCUAUGGAUGCGUAACAACUUAUUUUAUCAUUCCGUUUGUGACUGAAAUUGAAUUUCUUUCUGUAAACCUGAAAAUAUCUGAGACAAGCCUCGAUCAACUUAGAAGUUUACUUUGCCAAGAUUAAGGACACGUCUUGGGAGACAGGUCUGUGCCUUUCUCCAAAGAUGAUUUCGAGGGCUUCAGUAUUUAAAGGAAAAAGCCAGCUGGAGGGGACAGAGGGAGGGUAUGGUCACAUUACUGAAUCCAAAUGUUGCAAAAGAAAAGGAGCAUGUAGGGGAAUGGUCAGUUAUGUGUUCGUCCCAUGCUCAGUAACUCGACUCUUCACACAAGAUAAGGCCACUGCCUUCAGAGAAGGUGACAGAGGGCCAUGUCUGAAACAUUCUCCCACAACCAGGAACCCUCAGCAGCCGCUGAAGAGGAAAGGCAGUUAAAUGGAAAGACUUCUGAGCAAGUGGAGGAAAAGUCACGUGUGACCUAGGGAGGGGCUCCCACAGGAAGGGGCAAUGCCCUUGCCCUGUUCACCUAGCCUCCAGGUGGCUUCCCACUUGAAAUUUCAGAGGAUGGCAGAAACCUACUUACAAGGAAAUGAAAGAGGGCACAGCAACCUUAAGACCAGAGCAGCCCACGAUAUUUUUUAAUGAGGGCAAAAAUAGAAGACUUGCAAAAGACCCCUGAAAAUAAUGCCUGGAAGCUGCGAAACAUCAGACUGACACCGCACAAAAGAGGUCCAGCUGAGCAGGAGAAAAGCUUGAGAAGCAUCCAGAACAAUGUAGGUGGAGAGGCUAAGAAGAAAGAGGAGCCCACAUGGAAUGAAUAACCAAGGUCGGGACAGAGGAAGGUUCGCCAGAACUGGGAGGGCUGAAAUUGGACAUUGAGAUAAAUUAAAGAGUGUUCUUUAAAACUGUCAAGACUUUGGCUGGUCAAUAAGUAAACUGCAAACGAGUGUUCCUAAACCACAGCAGCAAUGCUCCCUGGAGGAGGGAAGGAGGCCGGGGCUGCCACUCUCCCAGGUGGCUGCGUCCCGGCCUUUGCCAUUGAUGUGUGCUUUCUCCAGGCUCACAGAUGUCCCUGGGCCGGUUGCAUCUGUGACCAGGACUCUGCCACCUGCCUGUGGCUUGCUGAUCAGCUGGUCACCCAGGAAUGUUAGGGAUGAACAGAGACCUAGAACUCAGGCUCCAUGGAUCUGGCAGCACCAGGAGACGAGGUUUCAAAUCUCAUGGCUGGGCCAGCCAGCCAGGUGCCCUGGAACUGUUGUGAUCCCUGCUCCUUGCCGGGCUUAGCCUCCUCUUACUUCAGCCCAGAAGUCCCCGAGUACCCACUCAACAAAUGCCAUCCCUUUAAUUUCUGUGGCCUGCUGCCAUCACGGCUCGCCUAAUUCAUUCCCUCCACACCCUAAGUGUCCACGGAAGUGGCUGAAACAGUAAAACCACAGAGGAGCAUUCAUUCCAGUCCCCAAG
rnacentral:lncRNA from 1 species